GCUGGUGUGGCUCAGUGGUUAAGAGCAUCAGCCCACGUACUGAGGGGUCACGGGUUCAAUUCCUGGUCAAGGGCA
rfam:Myotis brandtii contig223184, whole genome shotgun sequence.